UUGUCAAGUUGUAUUAAUCGGAUGUCAGAUUGAACAGUCGAUUUGGAGUUGUUUGCCAAAAAAACUCAGUGAAAUAAGCAAAAAGCGAUUUUAAAAGGAAAUUGAUUAAAAGCAAAAAGGCAAUUGGAGAAAAAUCAUGCAAAAGCCGGGAUAACCUAACUCCUAGCCAAAUGUGGCAUGCUGACUGCUAAGGAACAUCUAGAAUGCGUAGAGUUUGGGUAAGCAAACUCCAUUGCAAUAACUAACAAAUACUUACAAUAAAGCUAGAGGUUCGGGCUCUAAAAUGGCUCAAAACCUCACUACACUGGCUCAAUUUCAA